GCACCCGUCGUCUAGUGGCAGGAUGCGGGCCUUCCAAGCCCGCGGCCCGGGUUCAAAUCCCGGCGGGUGCA
rnacentral:tRNA from 3 species